CGGACGGGUGAGUAACGCGUGAGAAUCUACCUUCAGGUCGGGGACAACCACUGGAAACGGUGGCUAAUACCGGAUGUGCCGAGAGGUGAAAGGCUUGCUGCCUGAAGAAGAGCUUGCGUCUGAUUAGCUAGUUGGUAGUGUAAGAGACUACCAAGGCGACGAUCAGUAGCUGGUCUGAGAGGAUGAUCAGCCACACUGGGACUGAGACACGGCCCAGACUCCUACGGGAGGCAGCAGUGGGGAAUUUUCCGCAAUGGGCGAAAGCCUGACGGAGCAAUACCGCGCGAGGGAGGAGGGCUCUUGGGUUGUAAACCUCUUUUCUCAGGGAAGAAAAAAAUGACGGUACCUGAGGAAUAAGCAUCGGCUAACUCCGUGCCAGCAGCCGCGGUAAUACGGAGGAUGCAAGCGUUAUCCGGAAUGAUUGGGCGUAAAGAGUCCGUAGGUGGCAUUGAAAGUCUGCUGUUAAAGAGUCUAGCUCAACUAGAUAAGAGCAGUGGAAACUACAAAGCUAGAGUUUGGUCGGGGCAGAAGGAAUUCCUGGUGUAGCGGUGAAAUGCGUAGAUAUCAGGAAGAACACCGGUGGCGAAGGCGUUCUGCUAGGCCGAGACUGACACUGAGGGACGAAAGCUAGGGGA
rnacentral:rRNA from 1 species